GCCAGGCACAGUAGUGUGUGCCUUUAGUCCCAGCUAUUCGGGAGGCUGAGGCUAGAGGAUCCCUUGAGCGCAGGAGUUCUGGGCUGUAGUGCGCUAUGCCGAUUGGGUGUCCGCACUAAGUUCGGCAUCAAUAUGGCGACCUCCCGGGAGUGGGGGACCACCAGGUUGCCUAAGGAGGGGUGAACCAGCCCAGGUUGGAAACGGAGCAGGUCAAAACUCCCAUGCUGAUCAGUAGUGGGAUUGCGCCUGUGAAUAGCCACUGCACUCCAGCCUGGGCAACAUAGUGAGACCCCGUCUCUU
ensembl:misc_RNA Metazoa_SRP Metazoan signal recognition particle RNA